GGACAAACUGCCAUAGGUGAAGUGUAGGCGAUUGCUAAUUGUCUGGAAUAUUCUAAUUCCUUAGGAGUUCGAAUCUCCUUUUGUCCG
rnacentral:tRNA from 2 species